GUGCGAGAAUGUAGCAAUACAGGAAAGCGGCGAAAGGGAGAGGACAACAUGGGAAUCUGCCCGGGGGUCGAGGAUAGCGUCGGGAAACUGACGGUAAUACUCGAUAAUGUUUACGGACCAAAGGUUUACUGCCCCUGGAUGAGCCCAUGCCCCAUUAGCUAGUUGGCGGUGUAAUAGACCACCAAGGCGAUGAUGGGUAGCUGGUGUGAGAGCACGACCAGCCUCACUGGCACUGAGACACUGGCCAGACACCUACGGGUGGCUGCAGUCGAGAAUCUUCGGCAAUGGACGAAAGUCUGACCGAGCGACGCCGCGUGCGGGACGAAGGCCUUCGGGUUGUAAACCGCUGUCGAGGGGGAUUAAGGGCAACUUGAAAGAACCCUGGAGGAAGGAGAGGCUAAGCUCGUGCCAGCAGCCGCGGUAAGACGAGCUCUCCAAACGUUAUUCGGUAUCACUGGGCUUAAAGAGUUCGUAGGCGGCUUUACAGGUGGGGUGUGAAAGCCCUCGGCUCAACCGAGGAAUUGCGCCCCAAACCGUAAGGCUUGAGGGAUAUAGGGGUAAGCGGAACAGAUGGUGGAGCGGUGAAAUGCGUUGAUAUCAUCUGGAACACCGGUGGCGAAGGCGGCUUACUGGAUAUUUUCUGACGCUGAGGAACGAAAGCUAGGGUAGCGAACGGGAUUAGAAACCCCGGUAGUCCUAGCCGUAAACGAUGAGCACUAGUUUGAAGGACUCUCACAGUCUUUCGAACGUAGCGAAAGUGUUAAGUGCUCCGCCUGGGGAGUAUGGUCGCAAGGCAAUCUCUAGAGGAUC
rnacentral:rRNA from 1 species